rnacentral:lncRNA from 1 species
ACAUAUACAAAUGUGAUCAGCAUCAAGUUUACAAUCAGAUAACAAGCUCCACAAGUGUACAAUCACAUGAGCCAGAUUCUGCUACAUCAUAUAACACACAUACAAAUAGGAGCAGCAUAAAGGGCUUCAUUACUCUCAGAACUAGCUCCAAUGAGCUAGAACUAUUCUUCCUCCGACUUCUUUGUCCUGAUGCUCACGAAGAAACAUGAAAGCCCAGCAUAUGCACGUUACAGAACAAAAUGUUUAGUAACAAAAUAGAAGUAAAUCUAACAGCAUAUUUAACAAUAAAUAACAGCAUAAUGAAGUUAAUGAGACAUUUUAGAAUCAACUUGACAGUUGACAAUAAUGUUUGCAUUGGACACAUCCAAAACUAAAAUUAUACGUAAAUACCUAAAUUCCAAUGCCCAAUGCCUCAGUUUAGUAAAUCUGCAGAUUCUAGACAAAUCUCAUCAUCCUAAAGACAACAAAGCCUGCUUGGUAAUAUUUUAUGUGUUAAUAAUGCUUUACACAUAAAAGAACAUUGCCAAAGUGAUUAGAUGGCAUUGGAAAACUCGAAAGAUAAGCCAUAUAGCUUUGUUUAAUAUUACUAAGAUAUAUAGCAAUUAGUUUGUUUUCACAUGGAACCCAAGAGUAUGUCACUCUAGCACCCUGAGAAAGAUGUUAAUAUGCCAUCAUACUAGCUGAUAGACAAACAUUCCCGGAAGAAUUGAUGCUUGUUUAAGGGAUUCAAUUGGUACUGCUAUCUCUAACAGACAAAUUUAAAGUUUUUAAUACAUUUUUCUAUUAGCAAAACUGAAUAUGCUACUUCCUGAUUCAUGGCUGCAUAGUCCAGCUAGCUACACACCAGUUUGCUCUCAUGCAAAAAUUAGAAAAAAAGAACAACAAAUAAAUCAACACUGAUUUCUCUAACACGUACAGUAACUUGCUGAUAUAACUUUCUCCUAAUUGCAUUCUCAUAUGACUGGGCCAACAUGUGACGUUAUUAUUCGGUGUGCUAUUGGCCGAAGCAAAGGAAGCCUCACCCACACCUUGUACUAAUGCAACUAGCUUAAUUGAUUUUUCCUACUUAGAAAUAGUACUACACUUUGACUUGCUUCAACUCAGCCAGAAGCUUCAUACUAGCACAACCAGCAACAAACUAGCACUAGCCAAAACGAAUCAGGAGGCCAGCGAAGGGACACCAGGUCGAUCCCAUAAAUAAAAACACCAGCGAUUGAGAAACAUACCUGGACCCAGCCGCAAGCACAUCCGUUGAGAAAUCCACUUAAGC